rnacentral:rRNA from 1 species
CUACAGAGGGUGCAAGCGUUAAUCGGAAUUACUGGGCGUAAAGCGCGCGUAGGCGGUUUAAUCAGUCGGAUGUGAAAGCCCCGGGCUCAACCUGGGAACUGCAUUCGAUACUGUUAAGCUAGAGUAUGGUAGAGGGAAGUGGAAUUCCAGGUGUAGCGGUGAAAUGCGUAGAUAUCUGGAGGAACAUCAGUGGCGAAGGCGACUUCCUGGACCAAUACUGACGCUGAGGUGCGAAAGCGUGGGGAGCGAACAGGAUUAGAUACCCCAGUAGUCC